rnacentral:lncRNA from 1 species
CUGAUCUGCUUGUUCUUCUAUUAGGCGUUGAGCUUCUUGAAGCUGCUCCUCGAGACCCUUGUAUGUUGCCGAGGUUCCUGGGUACUUCCUUUUUCAAGUCGUUUGUGAGAGGCUUCCAAUUCCAUAAGGAAUGCCUCUUUCAUUUGUGAAAGUCGCCUGCAAAACAGUAUUAGAAUAACAGAACUGUCAAAAUCCAAAGAAUAAAAGCAUAUCAUAAAAGACAAUGUAAAAAAAGUAUUUACCUGAAGAAAGAGUUCAUUUUCCUCUUCUACGGACAGCACCACAGGCGGUGAUGUACCAUCUGAAGUCUCA